CCUGGCAGCGAUAGCGCGGUGGUCCCACCUGACCCCAUGCCGAACUCAGAAGUGAAACGCCGUAGCGCCGAUGGUAGUGUGGGGUCUCCCCAUGCGAGAGUAGGGAACUGCCAGGU
rnacentral:rRNA from 1 species